rnacentral:tRNA from 1 species
UUUAGAUGGCUGAGGAACAAGCAUUAGACUUUUAAUCUAAUAACGGUAUAUAAAAAUAUAAUACCUCUGGUG